rnacentral:rRNA from 1 species
GGACGAAGCCACUCGGGUUAAUAGCCCAGAGGGUGACGGUACCUCCAGAAGAAGCCCCGGCUAACUACGUGCCAGCAGCCGCGGUAAUACGUAGGGGGCAAGCGUUGUCCGGAUUUAUUGGGCGUAAAGCGCGUGUAGGCGGCCAGGUAGGUCGGCUGUGAAAACUCGAGGCUCAACCUCGAGAUGUCGGCCGAAACCAUCUGGCUAGAGUCCGGAAGAGGAGAAUGGAAUUCCCGGUGUAGCGGUGAAAUGCGCAGAUAUCGGGAAGAACACCCGUGGCGAAGGCGGUUCUCUGGGACGGUACUGACGCUGAGACGCGAAAGCGUGGGGAGCGAACAGGAUUAGAUACCCUGGUAGUCCACGCCGUAAACGAUGGGAACUAGGUGUGGGCGGUGUCGACUCCGUCCGUGCCGAAGCUAACGCAUUAAGUUCCCCGCCUGGGGAGUACGGCCGCAAGGCUAAAACUCAAAGGAAUUGACGGGGGCCCGCACAAGCAGCGGAGCAUGUGGUUUAAUUCGACGCAACGCGAAGAACCUUACCAGGGCUUGACAUGCACUGGAAUGUCGUAGAAAUACGGCAGCCCUUCGGGGCCAGUGCACAGGUGGUGCAUGGCUGUCGUC